rnacentral:rRNA from 1 species
AGUGGCGGACGGGUGAGUAACACGUGGGAACGUGCCUUUAGGUUCGGAAUAAGCCCGGGAAACUGGGUCUAAUACCGGAUGUGCCCUUCGGGGGAAAGAUUUAUCGCCUUUAGAGCGGCCCGCGUCUGAUUAGCUAGUUGGUGGUGUAAUGGACCACCAAGGCGACGAUCAGUAGCUGGUCUGAGAGGAUGAUCAGCCACAUUGGGACUGAGACACGGCCCAAACUCCUACGGGAGGCAGCAGUGGGGAAUCUUGCGCAAUGGGCGAAAGCCUGACGCAGCCAUGCCGCGUGAAUGAUGAAGGUCUUAGGAUUGUAAAAUUCUUUCACCGGGGACGAUAAUGACGGUACCCGGAGAAGAAGCCCCGGCUAACUUCGUGCCAGCAGCCGCGGUAAUACGAAGGGGGCUAGCGUUGCUCGGAAUUACUGGGCGUAAAGGGAGCGUAGGCGGACAUUUAAGUCAGGGGUGAAAUCCCGGGGCUCAACCUCGGAACUGCCUUUGAUACUGGGUGUCUUGAGUGUGAUAGAGGUAUGUGGAACUCCGAGUGUAGAGGUGAAAUUCGUAGAUAUUCGGAAGAACACCAGUGGCGAAGGCGACAUACUGGAUCAUUACUGACGCUGAGGCUCGAAAGCGUGGGGAGCAAACAGGAUUAGAUACCCUGGUAGUCCACGCCGUAAACGAUGAUUGCUAGUUGUC